rnacentral:rRNA from 1 species
UAGGGAAUCUUGCACAAUGGGCGAAAGCCUGAUGCAGCGACGCCGCGUGGGGGAUGAAGGCCUUAGGGUCGUAAACCCCUUUCAGUGGGGACGAAAUUGACGGUACCCACAGAAGAAGCCCCGGCCAACUACGUGCCAGCAGCCGCGGUAAGACGUAGGGGGCGAGCGUUGUCCGGAUUUAUUGGGCGUAAAGAGCUCGUAGGCGGUUGCGUAAGUCGGAUGUGAAAACUUAGGGCUCAACCCUGAGACGCCAUCCGAUACUGCGCUGACUUGAGUCCGGUAGAGGAGUGUGGAAUUCCUAGUGUAGCGGUGAAAUGCGCAGAUAUUAGGAGGAACACCAAUUGCGAAGGCAGCACUCUGGGCCGGUAACUGACGCUGAGGAGCGAAAGCGUGGGUAGCAAACAGGAUUAGAUACCCUAGUAGUCCCUGAGCGGGCUGGCAAGGCGCAU